rnacentral:rRNA from 1 species
UACGAAGGGGGCUAGCGUUGCUCGGAAUCACUGGGCGUAAAGGGUGCGUAGGCGGUCGGGUAAGUCUGAUGUGAAAUCUCACAGCUUAACUGUGAAACUGCAUUGGAUACUAUCCGGCUCGAGGAAUGGAGGGGAGACUGGAAUACUUGGUGUAGCAGUGAAAUGCGUAGAUAUCAAGUGGAACACCAAUGGCGAAGGCAGCUCGCUGGGACGGUACUGACGCUGAGACGCGAAAGCGUGGGGAGCAAACAGG